UUAAUAAGCUUAAAUAAG
rnacentral:tRNA from 1 species